GUGUCAGCAGCCGCGGUAAUACGUAGGUGGCAAGCGUUGUCCGGAUUUAUUGGGUUUAAAGGGUGCGUAGGCGGUUUUGUAAGUCAGUGGUGAAAUAUAGCAGCUUAACUGUUAGGGUGCCAUUGAUACUGCAGAACUUGAGUACAGAUGAGGUAGGCGGAAUUGACGGUGUAGCGGUGAAAUGCUUAGAUAUCGUCAAGAACACCUAUAGCGAAGGCAGCUUACUAGGCUGUAACUGACGCUGAGGCACGAAAGUGUGGGGAUCAAACAGGAUUAGAAACCCUCGUAGUCC
rnacentral:rRNA from 1 species